GAUAAAACAAGUAGCGUGCGAUUGCGCCGAUUGCUUGAAGCGGUGUGCGAGGCCUAGGCGCCCUAAGCUGUAGCAGCGUGAGAAGCAGCUUGUUUUGUCGUUCUUGAAGUCAUUGCAACGGAUCCAAAACCUGCGGAGUGAUCGAAGGCGGCAAGCCGGCUGUGUGUGCAGUUGCUAACGGAAGCAGACGGAGUGGUUACGCGAGCGUCGGAAGCAAUGGAGCUGCUGAUUUCAUAUGUUGUGCUAUCCUUCGGGCGUGCAUUGCAAACGAGAAAACCAUCACAUCAACCAGUGCGGUCACCUCGCCUGCGCACGCAAUGUGGGUGUGUUCGUGUGUACGCAGUUCAUCGCUGAGAAGAGCGCGUACGUGUUAUGUUUGUGGCGUUUGGUGAACGACAGUCCUCCUCAAGUUUCAAAAGUUAUGAUACGAUGAGCAGCGAUAAGUUUUAUUCCCUAGCUAUCGCUGUCAUUCGUUAUGAAUGAGCUAUUUUGCCUGCGGCGGUGUACCGCUGUGAUUGCGAACGGCUACAGACCGUGUCAUGUCCGAGCGCUUGUUUUCGCGAAGUGUUUUCAGGAGAUACAAACCGUGACAUGUAUGCGCGACGUGUCGCAACAGUUUUCUCAUUGUACAGGCCUUGCAUCAAGAGCGAUUCUGUAUGUUUUGAACGAUUAUGGUUUCUACGUGAAGCUUUUGAGAACGUAUCUGCUCUGAAUCUUGUACGUAUCACCCCCGUUGUCUCGGUCAUCAGCUUGAUCAUUCGCCUUUCCAUUCACUGAGUAUCGGGACAAAGCUUGACGCAUAAUGACACUGUCGUGGCGUCCGUUCGAACAAAGCCUUUAACUUUAAAAGAUGAGCAAGCUGGGGACGUAUUCUCGGACGGUCACUUUCCGAGAAAUCACUUUCAGUGCGCGCCGAUUGACUAGUUGAGCAAAACCGCACGAAUCGUACAACGCGCCGUGUACCCGUGUUCAACGUCACAGGAAAGUGAUUGUAUCGCCGAGAGUAUCGCCCGAAAAUACCUCCCGUGCUUUGUAGCGUUAGGAAAUUGUUGCCAUUGAAGCACUAAUAUUACUUUCGUUUACGAUGAUUUUUGUCCACUGCCACUUAUGGAACUUGCCUUUCUAAGGUGACUUAGCAUAGGAUAAAAUAAAGUGACAUUCAUUUGUGGUUAAUUUCAGGUGAUCCCUGUUCAAAAUGUGAUGAUCGACUUUUGUGGCAAACAUAAACCUGCAAAGCAAUGAACCACCAAAGGAGGCACCAAUGCAGGAAGUGCUGGCACUGUGUCAGAAAAGGAAUACUCUAUACUUAGCAGGAAUCUUGCUGAUUGUGUCUGUGCUCAGAGUUUGUUGCAACGCACAACCUAAGAAGCACUGUGUCUGUCCUGAUGUGUAUAUGUAUUCCAUAUGCUGUGAAUAUUAUUGCCUUUUGUAUUGUAGGUUAUGGUCUUGUGUUACAUUUCAAGUGGUACAUGUUGAAAGCAAGAUUGUUUUCUGCAUUCAGUGAAAGCUGUAUUGAAUUUCACACAAUGUUGAAAAACCAUUAGUAUUUGCUGAAGUGAAAGGUGAUUCAAGUGAAAACAUAAAUACAUGGGCUUAGUAUCAUCCUAGGAUUUUGUAAAAAUGGUAUGUAUUCGUUUCAUUGCUGUUUAGCAGAGUGCAUCACUGUUGUGAUCCUUGUUCUUCCUUGAUCAUUUUUGUUUUUACAGUGAUAUUGAUAACUCACUUGAAAGUCAUACAAUAAUGAUUUGCCAUUGUGGUGUUCAAAGUGCCUGCCAGGAUUUUGAACUAAAUCUUAUUGUCACAGAUAUAAUCAAUAUUGCAUUGAAUAAUAUGGCUUUAUCUUGAUGAAUAACAGAAUUUGAAAAUACCUGUACACUUAGAUUUAAGUCCACAUCAAGGAAACGUGUGCAUUUCCGAAUUAUUUUGGAGCUUUUUCUCUGAGAGUUCUUGUUUCACUUCUUCACUGUUAGACUCCUUGGGUUACUUCUGCCUCUGGAAAAGCAAUGCACAAAGAAAUCUACUUCACCGUUCUGUUCACUGUGCGUAUAGAAAAACCAUUGAUGAUUGUUUGGACACAACUCUUCAUGAGCAUUGGCCAGCUUGUUCUCCCACAUAAUGCAUAGUCUGUAAAAAUAAUGUUACGUGUACUUUAAUUGUGUCGCAAUAUAGUAAAUGCACAGAAUGGAACGAACUCAAAGUCAUAUUGUCUUAAUGGAUUCACUAGUUCUCUGUACUUUGUAUACACAUUAGGGUGCAUUGCAAGUCAUACAUUGCUAACAAUUCUGCGUUUGUAUUUUCAGGCUAUGCAGUUUAUGCAUCAGCAUGUACACCAAACCACAGCAAGGCGCAGUUAGAGUCAUUGUCAGCAGUGGAUGACGACAGCCAAGAAUCGGACAGAUUGCAAAGUGAUGAGAGCCAGUACACUCCAGGCAGAAAAAGCAGCAUUGCUCAAAACAGCGAACCUAUAGGUUCCGGCAAAACAUUCCGCUGUCAGCUUUGCUCAUAUGUUGCAACAUACCCUUCAGUGAUGAAGCGACACAUGCUGGUACAUAACGGGGAGAGGCCCUUCAAAUGUCCGUAUUGUCCGUCAACAUUUGCGCGAGUGUCAAAUGUCAAAGUUCAUAUGCACCUACACACUGCAGAAAAAAGCAGGCAAACCAAGAGCCAGCGCCGUACAAGCAGUCGUCGUUUUCAGUGUUACCUGUGCCCUUUUACUUCUGCAAAUCGAACAAAUUUAGAGAAUCAUCUGCGAACCCAUACAGGUGAGAGACCUUUCAAGUGCAACACAUGCUCUUAUGCAUCCUCCACUCAGUCUGAUUUGAAGCGACACACGAUACUGCGACACAGCACGUCUAAUCUAGGAGUCUAAUCAAGUCUAAGCACGUCACAUCUAAGCAUGUCUAAUCUCCCGUUACUUGUCCCUUCAAUUGAUGUCCAUGUAUUUUGUGUUGUGUCAUUCUUAACAUUGAAGUAUAUACCAACUAGCCCAACAGAGAGCUUUAAGCUAAUCUUAUAAACCCAUGCAAGGAGUAUGCUCCUAAAGAAAUGUGAAAAUUGGAAACGACUGAUCAAACCACGCAAUUAAACAGGCACAAACAGCUAAACAUUAGUGGAGCCAUUUGCAAUUUGGAAUAUGUCCUGCGAUUAUAAUUCUGAUGGAAGACUUCAUCACUUGUCAAACUGAUAGAAACAAGUGCGGUUUUUGAACCCUUCACUGACAAAUUAUAUAUAUAAUUUAAUGCAGAAAGUCACCAGAGGAUUACAAGUCAACACAUUGCAUGUCCGUGCACAUCUCAUGACAUAAACACGUACAUUUUAGUCGAUGCUAUGUACACAGUUUUUUUUUUUUAGAAGCUAUUUCUGUACUAGUAGUGUCUAAUGUUUUUCUCUGUUCAUUUUUUUUUCUUUUUGCAGUGGAUAUUUGCUAAAAAGCACUGCUGCCUUUGCAUCAUCUACUGUUUGCAGCCUUGUGCAUAUUUUUGUUUACCUGGCAUUUCAGUUGUCACGUCUCCAUAGGCUGCUUCUUCCUUACUUCAAGCUCUGAUGAUGCUGUGUGUUGUUUUGGUUAUCUUGUAGCAUUGUCUUUUUUCAGAAAGCUUAUUAUGUAGUGAUGCCAAGGCCUUUCUUAGUCACUGCAGGUAGCUAGGAUACUUUCUAUUUCAGAAAAAGAUUAAAACGUUUCAUAGCUAUCUAACUUUCAUAUAAGAGUGUCAUAAUUUGUCAAUUUUUACAUAGAGAUAUUUUCUUUUUACCAAACCUGCACUUAGAGCUUAACUUUAGUGGACUGCUAUUACUAUCACUCACAGUGAUGAGAGUUGUCUGUACACUUGUAAUACUGAAGGAACUGCUGUAGCUAUCAACACAGUUAAUAAUAACCUUUCGAUGCAUUACAAAAGUGUACACGUUAUGCUAUGCAUGAAUGUUUUGUUUUAUGUAAGCAAGAUCAUAUUUGGUUGAUCAGAUUUAGCUGUUCUUAAAGUAUACUUUGGAAUAAAAGUUCUGAUUAUGUUCACUGA